rnacentral:tRNA from 1 species
ACUCUCUUAGUAUAACAUUAUUAUAACUGACUUCCAAUCAGUCGGCCUUAGUGAAACCUAAGAGAGAGUA